rnacentral:rRNA from 1 species
UAUCUGCAGUCGAGCGGACUUUGGGAGCUUGGUCUCCUCCUUGUCGCCGGACGGGGGAGUAUACGUGGGCGCCUGCGUAUGAGACUGGGAUAUAACCCGGGAACCGGGGCUAAUAUACGAUAAUUUUUUUUUACACAUGUGUAAAAGCUGAGAGAUGGUUUCUGCUAUCACUCUUAUAUGGGCCCCCGGCGCAUUUUCUCUUUGGUGAGGUAACGGCUCACCAAGGCGACAAUGCGUAUCCCACCUGAGAGGGGGAUCUGCCCCACUGGGACUGAGACACGGCCCCCACUCCUACGGGAGGCGCCACUAUGGAAUCUUCCCCAAUGGACAAAAGUCUGACAGAGCACCGCCCCGUGAGUGAUGUAAGUGUUUUGAUCGUAAAACUCUGUUGUUAGGGAAGAAAAACAUACCCGAGAAACUGCGCGUACCUUGACAGUACCUAACCCCAAACCCCCAGCUAACUACAUGUCCCCACCCCCGGUAAUACAUAUAGGGGGAGCGUUGUUCCCGAUAAUUUGGGGGAAAACGCGCGCGGGGGGUCCCUUAAAUUUCAUAUGAAAGCCCCCCGCGUCUCA